UACAGAGGUCCCGAGCGUUGUUCGGAUUCAUUGGGCGUAAAGGGUGCGUAGGCGGCGGGUAAGUUUGAUGUGAAAUUCCGGGCUCAACCCUGGCAUGGCAUUGAAUACUACCUUGCUAGAGUACCGGAGAGGAAACUGGAAUUUACGGUGUAGCAGUGAAAUGCGUAGAGAUCGUAAGGAAGACCAGUGGCGAAGGCGAGUUUCUGGACGGUAACUGACGCUGAGGCACGAAGGCCGGGGAGC
rnacentral:rRNA from 1 species